rnacentral:rRNA from 1 species
UACAGAGGGUGCGAGCGUUGUCCGGAAUCACUGGGCGUAAAGGGCGCGUAGGUGGUGGCUUAAGCGUGCGGUGAAAGCUCGGGGCUCAACCCCGAGUCGGCCGUGCGAACUGGGCUCACUGGAGCAUAGUAGAGGCAGGUGGAAUUCCGGGUGUAGCGGUGGAAUGCGUAGAGAUCCGGAGGAACACCGGUGGCGAAGGCGGCCUGCUGGGCUAUGGCUGACACUGAGGCGCGACAGCGUGGGGAGCAAACAGG